GUAGUCGUGGCUGAGUGGUUAAGGUGAUGGGCUUGAAAUCCAUUGGGGAUUCCCCACGCGGGUUUGAAUCCUGUCGACUAUG
rnacentral:tRNA from 1 species